UGAGUAACACGUAUCCAACCUGCCGUCUACUCUUGACAGCCUUCUGAAAGGAAGAUUAAUACAAGAUGGCAUCAUGAGUCCGCAUGUUCACAUGAUUAAAGGUAUUCCGGUAGACGAUGGGGAUGCGUUCCAUUAGAUAGUAGGCGGGGUAACGGCCCACCAAGACUACGAUGGAUAGGGGUUCUGAGAGGAAGGUCCCCCACAUUGGAACUGAGACACGGUCCAA
rnacentral:rRNA from 1 species